rnacentral:rRNA from 1 species
GGGCACUCGAGCGGCGUAAGGGACAGUAAUGUGUAGGUACGUACCCCUGGGUCUAGGAUAGCUGCGGGAAACUGCAAUUAAUACUAGAUGAUGUCUCCGGACCAAAGGUGUGAUUCCACCCAGGGAGCGGCCUACAUCCUAUUAGCUAGUUGGUGAGGUGACGGCUCACCAAGGCGAAGAUGGGUAGCAGGUGUGAGAGCACGACCUGCGUCACUGGGACUGAGACACUGCCCAGACACCUACGGGUGGCUGCAGUCGAGAAUCUUCGGCAAUGGGCGAAAGCCUGACCGAGCGACGCCGCGUGCGGGAUGAAGGCCUUCGGGUUGUAAACCGCUGUCGGAGGGGAUGAAAUGCCGAUGGGUACUCCCAACGGCUUGACUGAUCCUCGGAGGAAGGGUGGGCUAAGUUCGUGCCAGCAGCCGCGGUAAGACGUACCACCCAAACGUUAUUCGGAAUCACUGGGC